rnacentral:rRNA from 1 species
AAAAUUAGUGGCAGACGGGUGAGUAAUGCAUAGGAAUCUACCUAGUAGUAUGGGAUAGCCACUAGAAAUGGUGGGUAAUACUGUAUAAUCCCUGCGGGGGAAAGAUUUAUCGCUAUUAGAUGAGCCUAUGUUAGAUUAGCUAGUUGGUAGGGUAAAGGCCUACCAAGGCAGUGAUCUAUAGCUGGUCUGAGAGGAUGAUCAGCCACACUGGAACUGAGAUACGGUCCAGACUCCUACGGGAGGCAGCAGUGGGGAAUAUUGGACAAUGGGCGCAAGCCUGAUCCAGCUAUGCCGCGUGAGUGAGGAAGGCCUUAGGGUUGUAAAACUCUUUCAGUGGGGAAGAUAAUGACGGUACCCACAGAAGAAGUCCCGGCAAACUCCGUGCCAGCAGCCGCGGUAAUACGGAGGGGGCAAGCGUUGUUCGGAAUUAUUGGGCGUAAAGGGCAUGUAGGCGGUUCGGUAAGUUAAAGGUGAAAUGCCAGGGCUUAACCCUGGAGCUGCUUUUAAUACUGCCAGACUCGAGUCCGGGAGAGGAUAGCGGAAUUCCUAGUGUAGAGGUGAAAUUCGUAGAUAUUAGGAGGAACACCAGUGGCGAAGGCGGCUAUCUGGUCCGGUACUGACGCUGAGGUGCGAAAGCGUGGG